UACGGGAGGCAGCAGUGGGGAAUAUUGCGCAAUGGGGGAAACCCUGACGCAGCAACGCCGCGUGAAUGAUGAAGGUCUUCGGAUCGUAAAGUUCUGUCGAAGGGGAAGAAAGAAAUGACGGUACCCUUAGAGGAAGCCCCGGCUAACUACGUGCCAGCAGCCGCGGUAAUACGUAGGGGGCAAGCGUUGUCCGGAAUUACUGGGCGUAAAGGGCGUGUAGGCGGUUUUUUAAGUCAGAUGUGAAAGUUCGGGGCUUAACCCCGGAAUUGCAUUUGAAACUGGAGAACUUGAGUACUGGAGAGGUAAGUGGAAUUCCUAGUGUAGCGGUGAAAUGCGUAGAUAUUAGGAGGAACACCAGUGGCGAAGGCGACUUACUGGACAGAUACUGACGCUGAGGCGCGAAAGCGUGGGGAGCGAACAGGAUUAGAUACCCUGCUAUCCCUUUCCUUAAACGAUGAGUGCUA
rnacentral:rRNA from 1 species